rnacentral:rRNA from 1 species
AGUGAACGCUGGCGGUAGGCCUAACACAUGCAAGUCGAACGGCAGCACAGUAAGAUCUUGCUCGUACGGGUGGCGAGUGGCGGACGGGUGAGGAAUACAUCGGAAUCUACUUUUUCGUGGGGGAUAACGUAGGGAAACUUACGCUAAUACCGCAUACGACCUACGGUUGAAAGCAUGGGAUCUUCGGACCUUGCGCGUUUGAAUGAGCCGAUGUCGGAUUAGCUAGUUGGCGGGGUAAAGGCCCACCAAGGCGACGAUCCGUAGCUGGUCUGAGAGGGUGAUCAGCCACACUGGAACUGAGACACGGUCCAGACUCCUACGGGAGGAAGCAGUGGGGAAUAUUGGACAAUGGGCGCAAGCCUGAUCCAGCCAUACCGCGUGGGUGAAGAAGGCCUUCGGGUUGUAAAGCCCUUUUGUUGGGAAAGAAAAGCAGCAGGUUAAUACCCCGCUGUUCUGACGGUACCCAAAGAAUAAGCACCGGCUAACUUCGUG